rnacentral:rRNA from 1 species
AGUGAACGCUGGCGGUAGGCCUAACACAUGCAAGUCGAACGGCAGCACCGUAAGAGCUUGCUCUUACGGGUGGCGAGUGGCGGACGGGUGAGGAAUAUAUCGGAAUCUACUUUUUCGUGGGGGAUAACGUAGGGAGACUUACGCUAAUAUCGCAUACGACGUACGGGUGAAAGCAGGGGAACUUCGGACCUUGUGCGGUUGAAUGAGCCGCUGUCGGAUUAGCUAGUUGGCGGGGUAAUCGCCCACCCAGGCGACGAUCCGUAGCUGGACUGGGUGGAUGGUCGCCCGCACGAGAACUGGGACACGGACCAUGCGCCUACGAGACGCAGCAGUGGGGAAUAUGGGACAGUAGUCGCAAGCCUUGUCCAGCCAGACCACGUGGGAGAAGAAAACCUUCGGGUUGGAAAGCCCGUUUGUUGGGAAAGAAAAGCAGCAGGUUAAGACGCAGCUGGACUGACGGUACCCAAAGAAUAAGCACCGGCUAACUUCGUG